rnacentral:rRNA from 1 species
ACGGAGAAUUGCUAGCUUGCUAAUAAUUCUCUAGUGGCGCACGGGUGAGUAACACGUGAGUACCUGCCCCCAAGAGUGGGAUAGCCCCGGGAAACUGGGAUUAAUACCGCAUAAAGCAAUAAAGCAGCAAUGCGCUUGGGGAUGGGCUCGCGUCCUAUUAGUUAGUUGGUGAGGUAACGGCUCACCAAGGCGAUGACGGGUAGCCGGUCUGAGAGGAUGUCCGGCCACACUGGAACUGAGACACGGUCCAGACACCUACGGGUGGCAGCAGUCGAGAAUCAUUCACAAUGGGGGAAACCCUGAUGGUGCGACGCCGCGUGGGGGAUAAGGUCUUCGGAUUGUAAACCCCUGUCAUGUGGGACAUUAAAAGAUAGUACCACAAGAGGAAGAGACGGCUAACUCUGUGCCAGCAGCCGCGGUAAUACAGAGGUCUCAAGCGUUGUUCGGAAUCACUGGGCGUAAAGCGUGCGUAGGCGGUUUCGUAAGUCGUGUGUGAAAGGCGGGGGCUCAACCCCCGGACUGCACAUGAUACUGCGAGACUAGAGUAAUGGAGGGGGAACCGGAAUUCUCGGUGUAGCAGUGAAAUGCGUAGAUAUCGAGAGGAACACUCGUGGCGAAGGCGGGUUCCUGGACAUUAACUGACGCUG